CCCGAGCGGCCCGUCCGCCCCUCGGUCCCGUCUUCGUGUUGCCGCUCUCCGGGCCCCGCUUAGAGCUCGGGUGUGCCGCGCUCUGUGGAGCGGUCCGCGCUGGAGUAGCUGGAGGCUGCAGGCCGUGGAGAACCGCCUGGGGAGCGGAGUGCGGGACACAGGUACAGCACUGUUUCCAUUGACUGCAAAAGAAGGGAGAGAAUAAUAAAGGAAGAGACAAAAAUAAGGAAGAGAGAGUGAACCAAAGCUUCAAGCAAAAAUCAGUGCAUCUUAAGUUGAAUCACACACACUGGAAGGUGGAAAAAGUGUUAGGAGUAAGAAGUGGCAGAGAGGAGGUCAACUGGAGGAGGUCAACUGGAAUGGCCAUUUCCUGUAUUUCAAAUAUUUCAUUUAGUAUCAGUGAUACCUUGGCCUCAUUCCUGGGCUGGCUAAGCUACAACAUCUGUACAGUCCCAAAGCCUUCAGUGUGGUGCCCUUAACGAGCUGACCAAGGAGGCCAAGAAACAGAAGAGCAAACAGAAGAUGAUGACAUAGCACUAGUCAAGUGGAACCAUCACCUAAAUGUAGAUUUUACCUCCUUUUAAAAAUAUAAGUUAUUUAAAUA